ensembl:lncRNA
AGAAGCAAGGGUCCAGCUUUAUUGUUUCAUUCCACCACACGAGAUCCACACCGAUGAGAAUUCUCAAAAGUGAUCCCUCUACCCUGAGCUUAAGCUCCAGUAUUUAUACUGUAUUUACACACUAGAUAACCCAUAGGUUUCCAGAAAAGGCCUAUUUCACUUACCCAUAGAAUUGAAACCAGGGGUUUUAAUUUACACAUAAAAUCAGAACCCAGGCAUUUCCAACAACCCAGGAAACAAAAACCCAGAGUUUCUAGUUACCUAGGUGGUCAGAAACCAGGAUUCUCAAUUCCCUAGGUAAAAAAAAUGACGUAGACAAGACGACUAAACAACCGGGAGGGACCUUGGUCUUAUCAGUUUCUAGUUACCUAGGUGGUCAGAAACCAGGAUUCUCA